GAUGAACGCUGGCGGCGUGCCUAAUACAUGCAAGUCGAGCGAAGAGUUUCUGAUCCUUCCCCUCUGACAAUUGCGCCGCGAGCGUGUGUAACACAUGGAUAACACCUCUCUAAUACUCUGGUACCUUCGUUAAACCGGAGCUCUUACCGCGUAUUACAUCGUUCCCUAUGUGUUUGUAGUUUAAGACGUGUUUUUUCUAACAUUAUGAUAGAUCUUUGCGGUGCAUUAGCUAGUUGGUGGGGUAAAGGCCUACCAAGGCGACGAUGCAUAGCCGACCUGAGAGGGUGAUCGGCCACACUGGAACUGAGACACGGUCCAGACUCCUACGGGAGGCAGCAGUAGGGAAUCUUCCGCAAUGGGCGAAAGCCUGACGGAGCAACGCCGCGUGAGUGAUGAAGGACUUCGGAUCGUAAAGCUCUGUUAUUAGGGAAGAACGAUUGUGUAGUAAACAAAGCCCGUCGUGACGGUACCUAAUCAGAAAGCCACGGCUAACUACGUG
rnacentral:rRNA from 1 species